GCCAGUGUGGCAUAGUGGUUUGAGUGUUGGACUACGACUGUGGAGAUUAGGGUUCAAAUCCCCACUCGGUCA